rnacentral:lncRNA from 1 species
ACCUCUGAAGCCCGUGCUGUCCUCCCACCUCACCGUCACCCCAGGCCCACACGGACUCGCUGAACACCCUCGUGGCACUGCACCAGCUCUACCAGUACACGCACAAGUACUAUGAUGAGAUCAUCAACGCCUUGGAGGAGGACCCCGCUGCCCAGAAGAUGCAGCUGGCCUUCCGCCUGCAGCAGAUUGCGGCCGCGCUCGAGAACAAGGUCACCGACCUCUGACCUCCCGCCUUCCGCCUGCCUCCUGGCGCAGGGGGCGCCGCAGGCCCCGAGCAAUAUGGCACCGGAGCCUGUACUAGCCCCCGCCCACGGAGCCAGCCCGGGGUCUCUGUGUGAAGACUGAGUGUUUCGCAAACGUGCCUUACGCCGCGCCGGGCCCCUGGGGCAGUCGGGCCUCCGCCUCCCCUCGCACCAGCAGCCGCCUCAGAUGCCCAGGGCCUGGCCUCUGGGUGGGAUCCGAGUCCCUGCAGCCCCGGGGCGAGUGCCCAGACGUGUCUGCCCACUGUCCACGGACAGCAGGAGGAGACACGGAGGACAAGCG